CCUUGCCUUUCCCACCACUUUUCUGCUGCACAAGACUGAGCCUCUCCUGGUUUCUCCCUCUCCCUGUACAAGUCUUGGAGGAGCCUUGCCUUUCCGCCUUUACCGCCACUCGAUGGCAGAGACCUUGGCAAGGGAUGUGGAUUGCAAAGCAAGACUGAUUUGCAACCCAGUCUGGAAUCACCAAGUUGACCUAAACGAGUUCAAAUCUGCAGGACCAGACAAACUACAUCUCCAAGCACUGUAG
rnacentral:lncRNA from 11 species